rnacentral:tRNA from 1 species
GGGGUUGUGGCUCAGUGGUAGAGCACUUGCCUAGCAUGCAUGAGGCACUGGGUUUAAUCCUUGGCACCA